CCCAGACUCCUACGGGAGGCAGCAGUGGGGGAUAUUGCACAAUGGGGGGAACCCUGAUGCAGCGACGCCGCGUGGGUGAAGGAGCGUUUCGGCGCGUAAAGCCCUAUCGGCAGGGAAGAAGGAGGACGGUACCUGACUAAGAAGCCCCGGCUAACUACGUGCCAGCAGCCGCGGUAAUACGUAGGGGGCAAGCGUUAUCCGGAUUUACUGGGUGUAAAGGGGGCGCAGACGGCAGCGCAAGCCAGGAGUGAAAGCCCGGGGCCCAACCCCGGGACUGCUCUUGGAACUGCGCGGCUGGAGUGCAGGAGGGGCAGGCGGAAUUCCUGGUGUAGCGGUGAAAUGCGUAGAUAUCAGGAGGAACACCGGUGGCGAAGGCGGCCUGCUGGACUGCGACUGACGUUGAGGCCCGAAAGCGUGGGGAGCAAACAGGAUUAGAUACCCCUGUAAU
rnacentral:rRNA from 1 species